CAUAAAACAAUCAACAUAGAUGGUGGUUCUGAUUUGUUAUAUGACAGUGACUAUAUGGAUUUCAUUUCUGAUGAUUCCAUGGAUUUUGAUGAUCAUGCAUUUUUAGAUGCCCACUUUUACGAUGUGGAUAUUCCUCCUGGAGUGGAGGCUCCUGUUCCUUGGAUUCUGGAUCCUGCUCAUAACCUACAGAGGAAAAAGAUACCAGUUACGUCAAGUAGUUCAAAUAAUUAUAGUUCUGUAAACCAAUCGCCCAAGGCAACAAUUCCUCAUGGCGUUGAACCAUCACACUGGGGACACUAUACUCCAUUUAAUCUAAACAACCAAGAUGGCACAAAUAAUCUUAUUUGUCCAAACUUUCCUGCAAAUGUGGAUGGAUUGAAUCACCAUUCUGUAGUAGGCCCAUCUAUAUCUUGGUUCACAUCUAAAUUCAAAUCUUCAAACACUAACCAUACAAGUCACUCAGAUUUCUAUGAUCCAUUUCAUGCUG
rnacentral:misc_RNA from 1 species